UCCAUUUGUCCAACAAUUGCCGCACAAAAUAAAUCUUACGCAGAAGAAGAUGACAAAAACUUUCAUAAUUAGAGGCACGCCCUAAGAAGAAACGAAACUGAAAGUAUAGAUGAUAAAAUCUAAAUUAAAAUUUCCAUAAACACAAAAAUCAAAAUAAAUAAAUAAAUAAAUUCCCGAGCUACAUAUGACAAAGCACACAAAAGCACUUUCUUUUGUGACAUAUAAACCUGCUUGUAUAUAUAAACCUGCUUGCUCAUAAUAAAUUAAUUAAAUCCCAAUUGAGUUUUGUGACAAAUACUUUGAUGGUCUUCUCCACAAAUGGCUUCCACAAGAAUUAUAAUUAUGGCUCUUUUCUUAUUAAUGGGUCUUCUCAGUUCCUCACAAGUUACAGACGCUCGACAACUCAAUAGACUGCCAAGUAAAGAAGGUGAAAAGAUGGAAAGUGACGGACGUUUUCAUUGCCGUUAUGGGUGCUGUGGUUUUGCCCCAUAUUGUCGAUGCUGCCCUUACCCCAACACUCACACUUCCACCAAGCCACUUACCUAGACUGUUUCAUGCCUUUUUCUUUAAUUUGUAUAAUAACUUGUGUCGUCUUAUCCUUCAUCUAAUAAGGCGUUCAAAGAAAGGAAAGGAAAGUCGGGGUAUCUUCAAAAAGCCUAAACAAUUCACUCAAAAUGUGAGCACUUAGGAGGUGAUUGGUACGAUGGAAUGAAAUGAAGGGAGAAAAUGAAUGACAAACCUUGGUGAUUCAUUUACUUGGUAUGCAUAAGGAAUACAAAUGAAAUGGAAUUGUAAUUCCUUGUUUGAUUCCAUUCCUAUAAUUGGUAGCUAAAAAAUAAAUUCUAGAAAUGGAAUGUAAUUAUUUUGAGGUUAUUGGUGCCUAAAUACACCAACUUUGGAUCAA